AAAGGUAGAUGCAAUAUAUUUAUUAGGAUUUAUUUAACCAAACAUUGAUGAUUACUACGUGUCAGGUACUAUUCCAAGUAUUUAUAAAUAUAACUAAUUUAAUCUCUUCUUCUUCCAGUCUUUAAAAUUAACUAAAAUCAUUUUUUUAAAAAAGAGGCCACAAUUUUUUCUUUUCUGUUUAUACUACUUCCUAAGUACUUAGCUAGACCUUCUAGAUGUCUGGAUAUCUGGCCACUCUUUUGGUUCUUCAUAUAUGCCAUGCUCUCUUGUGCCUUAGAACCUUUAAGUUUGCUGUUUCCCCUGCUGGGAAAGUUAUUUUAAUCUGUCCCUUUUCUUAUUUAAUUCCUGCUUUUUCUUCAGAUCUCAGUUCAACCAUCAUCUUUGAGGCAAAAAUUUCAACUUCUUUAUCUAAAGACAAGUAGAGGGCUACAAUAGCAUAUUACAGAAAUUUUAAGAGCUGUGCUUAAUCCACUUUGCUCACCUUGAAUCUCUAGUCCUCAGAUAGUGGUUCUUAUUUUCCAUGAAAUGAGGAAACAUUGAAGGGUAAUGGGGAAUGGCUUAGGUUAUGUUUUAAAAGGAUCACUCUGACUGUUUUACUGAGAUGAAAGUAGGGGCACAAAAGUGGAAUAAGAAAGAUAACUUAUGAGGCUACCAAUAAUCCAAUUCAGGGCUGAUGAUAGCACUGACAAUAAAAAGUGGUCAUAUUUGGAGUAUUUUGAAAGCAGAACCAACAAAAUUUGUAUUGGGUGUGAGGUGUGAGAGCAAGGAGUAAAGCAUGACUUCAAGAUUUUGCCUGAGCAACUGGUAGGAUGCGGUUGUCAUCAGCUGAAAUGAGAAAACCUGUGGGUGCAGCUAGUUUGAGGGAAGAGCAAGAUUUCUGUCUUGAACAUAGGUUUGAGAUGUCUAUUUAGACAUCCAAUAGAGAUAUUAAAUAGGCAGCUGGAAUUCAAGAAAGCCUGGAAAUAAAAGAUAAAAACUGCAAGUUGGCAGUACAUUGAUAGUACUUAAAGCCAUGAAACUGGAUGAGAUCACCAAGAGAGUGAGUAUAAGCAAAGAGGCAAACCGUGGACUGAGUCCUCAGGUGUUUUAAUGUAAAGAGAUUAGGGAGAAGGAAGGGAUCAGCAAGGAGACUGAGAAUGACUAGUCAAUGAGGCAGAAGUGUGGUCUUUCAGAAGUGAAAUGAAAGUAUAUCAAGGAGAAAAGGAGUCAGGACAAAUAGCUGGUCUCUAAAUCAAUGUCAUUAAAAAUUUUAAAAACAAAACCACUCACUUAAAAGCUCUACAGGGUAUAACAGCUAGAUAAGACACAUAGACCUAGAUUUAAUACUGCUUUAGAAAAACCAGUGGUAAAAAACGUUUUGAGGCCAAAUUGGUAAAUUUAGCUUUAGUAUUAGAGAUGAAAACACUGAAAGGGAAAGCUCAAGGUUGCUGUUUUUUUUUUUUUUUUUAAAGGUAUGUUCUCACUCUGUCAACCAGACUGGAAUGCAGUGGCAUGUUCACAGUUCACUACGACCUUGACCCACUAGGCUCAAGUGAUCUUUCCACCUCAGCCUCCCAAGUAGCUGGGACUACAGGCACAUGCCACCACACCUGGCUAAAUUUUUGGCAAAGAUGGGGUCUAUUGCCAUUGCCCAGCCGAACUCCUGGCCUCAAGUGAUCCUCCUGCCUCAGACUUCCAAAGUGUAAGGAUUACAGGAGAUACAUAAAUAACGGUUGGCAUUUGGGAGGCCUCAACCAUUCCUGAGGUACUGGUGGUGGCAGUUGCAAGUAUCUUUUGCUGCACUGAAGGAGGCAAUGAUGACGCUGGUACAGAUUUCACUUCAGCAUGGGCUGGAAUCUGUAAAUGAUGCCCAGAAGGCAAAACUGGAGACUUCACAGUCACUGGAAGACUCUGGGUAUUAACUACAAUAAAAGAUGAGUCUUUUUGUGUUGAGGGAGGAACAGCAAAUGUUUGCAUGGUGAGUCCAUCAAUUUUCACACCAUGACUCUGAACUUUAGAAACUGAUGAAGAAAAAUUUCCAGUUCCCACAGAAGUAACUCUACCUUUUUCUGAUGUAUCUACUGUUCUUGUAAGAAAAUAGUUUGAAGAACUGGCUGGCUGAAAAAUGGGCAAUUGAACUGAUGCACUUGUGGAAGAGCUGGAAAUCUGAGUCUGAAAAGUAACUUGAACUGGUUUUCCUGUAUUCCCUUUCAAAGCAUCAGACAUGACUGAAGAUUGAACUAGUGGUAUAAGAUUUCCAGAAGACUUAGGAAUUGGAAGUAAUUGCAGAAGAUUUUUUCCAUCCGAGCCAAUCGUCUGAACUACUUGGUACAUGCAGCCUGAAACACUUAAAAGAACAUUGAGUAAAUAAAUACAACAU
ensembl:lncRNA novel transcript